CUGCAAGCCAUCAUGACUCAAAAGCUGCGACAGACGCUGUUAACUUCUGAAGAUAACUUCAGCGCCACCCUAAAAACUCGAUUGAAAUUCGACACAAACCUUCAAAUAGAGAAUCAUGGAACUAGAAGCAGAUACAGUGCAUCAUUAGCUAAUAUAUGUUGGCGAGGCAGGUUUCAACCUUGCAAAAACAAGGGGCCACGGCAGAAAUAUCAUCGGACACCGUGCCAUCAUCAACGUCCCGGGACAACGUGGUGGCAACAUAUCGAUGUGUGUGGCUAUUAGUCAAAACGGCGUCCUUCACCAUCAUGCAAUCCUAGGCCCGUUCAACACUGCACACAUGAUCACAUUUCUGGACACCCUCCACAACAGACUAAUCCCUGAUGACCAGGGGCCAGAGCUGCCCAGAUACGUUAUCAUCUGGGACAAUGUUAGUUUCCACUGGGCUGCUGUGGUCCGCAGUUGUUUCAUAGGUCACCCACUUUUCAUCACACUCAAUCUCCCCCAUACUCUCCGUUCAUGAAUCCUUUUGAAGCAUUCUUCUCUGCAUGGCGUUGGAAGGUGUAUGAUUGCCAGCCCCAACAACGCAUACCCCUUCUACAGGCAAUGGAGGAGGCUUGAGGAGACAUCGAUCAGGGGAUACUUUCCACGCUGACUAGCUCAAGCCAACAUCGCAUGUGAUGUGGAUGAAGUCUUAUGGCCAGACCCACAAAGGCGGCGGGAUGUAGCCACAUUUUGAUCUUUUUUUUCGAGCACAAAUGUUUUUGUUUUCUUGUUUUCUUUUGUUGUUUGAGGAGUGUUAGAACAUACAAAAAUGACCCAAAAAAACCUUGUAUUUAUAGUGUUUUGUAUUCGGGAAUAGACAUCCAUACUUUACACAUUUGGAUACCUGUGUGUAUGUGUGUUUACUACAUGUAUG
ensembl:lncRNA